AUGAUCAUUUUAGUUGAUGUCCACGCAAAUUAUUCGUGUUUCCUCUUCAGGUGAAGGUAGAAAGUGUGUGUGAGCUGAUGUGGAUGUGAAUUCAGCAGCAUGGAUCUGUGUGAGGACAGAGAGGAGGGAGUCCCUCCCUCUAAAACCACUCAAAGGAACCAACCUGGGCUUGAACUUGGACCUGAACCCGAGCUUGAGCCUGAAACCAGCUGCGUGUGCUUACAGUGCAACUGCAUGAAGUUUUUUAUUUGUAGAUUCACAAAAAGAAGACAGUUAUCUAAGAAAAGCGUCCAUCAGGGACUUAGCACUGAACCCAGCUUUGUGUCCUUAAAGAGUGACUGGUGUGAAAGGUGCUCUAGUGGUUUUGA